GAAAGAAAGAAAACAAAGUUUCUGUUUUCUCAAGCUUGCUCACCGCAAGUCUGCAACUGCUUGGGUUAUCUUGAGAGUUUGAUUUCACGAGAAUUUUGUAAUCAAAAGUGGCAGAUUGACUCUCAUUCAGAGCUAUAAUAGACAGGCAGGUUCGUAGACUUCGAACCAAAGACGUUGCUUCAGUGAAAGUAAUAUGGAGAAACCACUCAGUUGAGGAAGCUACGUGGGAUCCCGAGGAAGCCAUGAAGAAAAGAUAUCCUUAUUUGUUCGAGAUUUCAGUUAGAGAAAUUGGUGACUUGGCAUUGCCUGGAAGAUACGUGGAGGCAAAGUUGAGCUUGUAUUUGAGGUAUUGAGGAUGCAGGUAACGAGGCAUGUGGCUAAAGGAGAUAUUCUAGAUUCAGUUUACAGACUCCGUUGAUUCAUCCCAGCGGUAGCGGACCCUUUUCGGACUAUUAUUUAUAACUUUUUUU